GAAAUGCCGGAUGAGCCGCUGUGCAGCAUCCCGAGGAAGGGGACUCCUCCAGUUGGCAGGCUACAAUGGGGGGGGGGCACACUCGGAGUGAAUGUGGGUCUUUGCAAAGAGGCCGCACUCCAGGCAGAGUUUGGGGGGGGGAGGGGCUUCCUUUCCCUCCUAGUCACAAUCUCAGCCAGCACAGGAAUUUCUUUCCUUUGAGGCUUCUUUUCCACUUGAUCCAGUGAUGCUGGGAAAGAUUGGGUGCUCCUUAUGAGCCCCAGGAAGGAGUCCCGUCUUUAGGAUGUCUUCCCAGCAUGCCAAGCAAGGGUGGGAGUGCCACGGUCGCCCCCAUGGACAAUCAGUGGCCUGGAUGAUUUCUCCGCAGGAAAGAAGCUGCUGGAAACGUUGCUAGGAGCUCCCUGGUGGAAGCCAGGAGUGAGAGGUUGAGGGAGCCCUGGUGAGAAUCCAAAGAGAUUGCUUGAGGCGGCUUUUCAGCACCAUGAACAAGUAUAGUACACCAGAGGUGGAGAAAAAAUUCCAAUCAUUCUGGUUGGACCUUGUGGGAAAUUCUACUCAAGCAUCAAGACCCAACAACCAGAGGGAAGCAACCACAAGUUUCAGUCUAUAACAGUGAUGGCGAAGCACUUCGGCAUGCGUGUUCCGCACAUGCGCUCCUCAGAACUGCAACCAGGAAGAAGAGCUGCCCAGGGGGCAUACAUGCACCGAAAAAGGUGAAGAGCCCGCAAUGGAGGCAAUCAUUCCAAGUCAAGAGGGAAUCUGCGUAGUCCGUCUCAAUAGCCACACUGUUGGGAGGAAUCUCCCUGGAGGAUCGAACUCAGGUCACAUCUGGGUUGGGUUGCCUGAAUGCAGUGAGGUCCCAGGAGUUUCCAACCGCCUUCAUUCAUCGUCUUCUGUUACACACAAACUGUUCUAAUCAAAGAGAUUUAUUCCCCUUCCCCUUCAGCUGACAUCAACUAAAUAUAAAUUCCUCAUUAA